CCUACGGGCGGCAGCAGUGGGGGAUAUUGCACAAUGGGGGAAACCCUGAUGCAGCGACGCCGCGUGUGGGAAGACGGUCCUCUGGAUUGUAAACCACUGUCCCCAGGGACGAAGAUUACGGUACCUGGGGAGGAAGCUCCGGCUAACUACGUGCCAGCAGCCGCGGUAAUACGGAGGAUGCGAGCGUUAUCCGGAUUUAUUGGGUUUAAAGGGUGCGUAGGCGGAUUUUUAAGUCGUCGGUAAAAUGUCCGGGCUCAACCCGGGCCGGCCGUUGAAACUGGGGAUCUUGAGUGGUCGAGAAGUAUGCGGAAUGCGUGGUGUAGCGGUGAAAUGCAUAGAUAUCACGCAGAACUCCGAUUGCGAAGGCAGCAUACCGGCGCCCGACUGACGCUGAGGCACGAAAGCGUGGGGAUCGAACAGGAUUAGAUACCCCAGUAGUC
rnacentral:rRNA from 1 species